UGUAGGUAAAUCAUAUUUAAUUUCUAAAUUGUUUUAUUAUGGAAAAGAUGCCAUUUAUGAGAAGGAGUAAACGUACUGGUAAGCGAGUAGAUGUGGCUGCCCAAGAAGGGACCAGCCAACCACCACCAAGUCAAGCUUUUAAAAGUGGGGCUCAAGAUGAGUCUCAAUCACAGACUUCCCCGAAACCUCCAUCUCUUGAAGAACUAAGGAGGGAAGAUGAACCUCAGGAACCCCCUUAUUAAUGGUACCAAGCAAGAUUUAAAGAUUGCAGUCCAAUUAUUCACUCGUAUAGUUGCUGGUCAUGGUCAAAGGAAUGAAGCUCCAGCCGCAGGUACUAGUGAUGUAUAUAGAGCAGCUGGAACACGGAUACGUGAUUUUCUUAACUUGAACACUCCAUCAUGCACCGGGUCAGAUCCUAAUGAAGAUUGUAACGUCCUGCAUUAUGUAUAUGGUAGUUCUAUCCCUGUUAUACUUGACAUAGACUUGGAGUGUAGGUUAGGGAUCAUGUGUCUUAUAUGAUUACUGGUUGUUUAAACUAGCUCGGAAGGUGAUAGCCUUGAACAUUCAGCAUGCGUAUUGCAAGUAAACUCUGACGGAAAGUAUUUAAGCAAAUAUAGUAAGGUGGAAAUUGAGCUUAAAGUUGAAAGUUAAGUGCUAAGUUGAAGAAAAGGGAUUAACAUUGAGAAAUUGAAAUAAUGUAAUUGAGUUGCUUGUUUGGCUUAAUUAUGCUAGCAGCUACAUCACCUACUUGAGCUAUAAUAUAGUGAAAGGGACCAAGUUUGAUGGACCAGAUUUUGGUUUAUAUUAAUGGGCACACAUUAAUACCAAACUUAUUAAAUGAAAAGAAAAAAAAAAGGAAAGCCCAGCAGCCAAAUCUGCCAAUUGGCCCAUAAUGGAUAAAGCCCAAGUGAAACUAACUAGGUGCAUCACCUACUAAGACUUUUUUACCAUGUAAUUGGGCCAAUUUUGUACCACCUACUUGCAUUAGUCUGGCCCAAGUUAAAUAUAAGAACAAACGGAAAAUGGACAGCCAAGGCUGAAUAAUUUUAAGUCCAAAAAGGCCCAAGUUAAAAGCCAAGUAGGUGGUUCACCUACUUGACAAUAUAUGGCCCAAAAUUGGCCAAGAAAGUCGGCCAUUGCACCUCCCUUUCAGACAUGCAAAAUUUUUAGAUUCUUUAAGUUUCUUUCUUGGUGUCUCUUGGCUUCACCAAGCAGCCCUAAAAUAACCUUAGGGUUCUUGGUAUUGUCUCGUAUUCAAGUAAAAGUUUGAAGGAGAGUUUGAAUUCUUGAAGUAUAAGUUUAGAGGAUACAUUUCCAGAAUUAAGGGAUGUUGCAUUUCAUGUUGCAGGCAUAAGUACUCCAGCUAGUAGACUUCCUUUGUAGGAGCAAACGACACUCAGCAACUUUUGGGGCGAGAUCUUGUUGGAAUAUUUGAUUCAUCAUAAGAAUCUUCAUAAGGCAAAGUCAAAAUAUGUUUUUUCCUGUCCCAAAGAGCAUUUGGAUGGUCUGCACAAAUAUCAGAUGCUAUUUUUGCAGAAGUCAAUUUAAUUUUUUCUUGGAUUCUAGGAGAUUGUAAAGAUUCUGAAAUAUUCAGACUAUAAAUUUCCAUUUGUAAAGACUCAAUAUGCUUUUGUUUUAAAUGAAUCAAAGAGUUAAUAUCUCUAGUGAUUGGUUCGGUUAUGAACUCAAAA